rnacentral:tRNA from 1 species
GGGCUCGUAGCUCAGCCUGGGAGAGCACCUCGCUGAAGACGUGGUUGUCCUGGGUUCAAAUCCCAGCGAGCCCA